UCACUACUUGCGUAGGCAGUCUGGCUAGAGUCCCCACCAUUACGUGCUGGUAACUAACCACAGGGGUUGCGCUCGUUGCGCCACUUAAGGCAACACCUCACGGCGCGAGCUGACGACAGCCAUGCAGCACCUUCCGGCCCGUCCCGAAGGAAAGCUCCCUUUCAGGAGCCGGCAGGCCGGAUUUAGCCCAGGUAAGGUGGGGAUGACGUCUCACGCAAUAACA
rnacentral:misc_RNA from 1 species